AGUGAACGCUGGCGGUAGGCCUAACACAUGCAAGUCGAACGGCAGCACAGUAAGAGCUUGCUCUUACGGGUGGCGAGUGGCGGACGGGUGAGGAAUACAUCGGAAUCUACUUUUUCGUGGGGGAUAACGUAGGGAAACUUACGCUAAUACCGCAUACGACCUACGGGUGAAAGCAGGGGAUCUUCGGACCUUGCGCGAUUGAAUGAGCCGAUGUCGGAUUAGCUAGUUGGCGGGGUAAAGGCCCACCAAGGCGACGAUCCGUAGCUGGUCUGAGAGGAUGAUCAGCCACACUGGAACUGAGACACGGUCCAGACUCCUACGGGAGGCAGCAGUGGGGAAUAUUGGACAAUGGGCGCAAGCCUGAUACAGCCAUACCGCGUGGGUGAAGAAGGCCUGCGGGUUGUAAAGCCCUUUUGUUGGGAAAGAAAAGCAGCAGGUUAAUACCCCGCUGUUCUGACGGUACCCAAAGAAUAAGCACCGGCUAACUUCGU
rnacentral:rRNA from 1 species